rnacentral:rRNA from 1 species
GUGAGGGAUAUUGCACAAUGGGCGAAAGCCUGAUGCAGCGACGCCGCGUGGGUGAAGAAGGUCUUCGGAUCGUAAAACCCUUUUCUGCGUGACGAGAAAGGACGGUAGCGCAGGAAUAAGUCUCGGCUAACUACGUGCCAGCAGCCGCGGUAAAACGUAGGAGGCGAGUGUUAUCCGGAGUUACUGGGCGUAAAGCGCGUGUAGGCGGUUGGGCAAGUGAAUGGUGAAAGCCCCUGGCUAAACUAGGGGAGUGCCGUUGAGACUGCUUAGCUAGAGUGAGGUAGAGGGACAUGGAAUUCCGGGUGUAGCGGUGAAAUGUGCAGAGAUCCGGAGGAACACCAGAGGUGAAAACGGUGUCCUGGGCCUUAACUGACGCUGAGACGCGAAGGCGUGGGGAGCAAACGGGAUUAGAUACCCCUGUAGUCC